CAGCGCGUGCCUCCGCCGGUGCAGGAUGCACGAUUAAUGCCGAGUUCAUGUGAAUCACUACAGUUCCCUUGGAGCAAAGUUCUUGGUGCAAUUGGACAAGCACUUUACAAAACUUUUGGAGGUCAUCAGGAGCAAAGGGGGAGUUGUGAAAGAGAAGACCACCAGGACCUUGCAGGUUUUAGAUGAGACUGUGGACAUCACCAUCAGAAGAGAAUGCAUCUUCAAACCUCUGAUGAUCUACCUCGGUCAACUUGUUGAGCAUCUUAUCAAAGAAUACCAGUAAAAUGAGAUUGAAGAACUGGAGCAGACAACCAUGGCAAUCUUUAUCACUGGGAAAGAGGAUCCUCUCCAUCCACCCAAAGACAUUAAAAUUGUCAUCGAAGGAACUGAGGUCCUGAACGAGUUACCCUUUGUUGCAACUGCUUUUGCCACGGUCUUUGGGCUCAUAUACACACUUAACUUAAAAUAUGGACUUUGUGCAAAAGGUCCUGAUGGAGC